rnacentral:rRNA from 1 species
AACGUAGGACGCAAGCGUUAUCCGGAGUUACUGGGCGUAAAGCGCGGGCAGGCGGCUCGAAACGUCUGAUGUGAAAUCUCCUCGCUCAACGGGGAGAGGCCAUUGGAAACGGUCGAGCUGGAGGGCAGUAGAGGUAGGCGGAAUUCCGGGUGGAGUGGUGAAAUGCGUAGAGAUCCGGAGGAACACCAGAGGCGAAGGCGGCCUACUGGGCUGCACCUGACGCUGAGGCGCGAAAGCUAGGGGAGCAAACGGG